GUUAGCAGGGUUUAGACCUGCACCAGUGAUGACACACCGCCAUGGCUCCACCUAAGUACCCAAAUGUAUGGUUGUCACGUGUCGCACUAAUUUGUAAAACAUUCAUGCAAUGCACCAAAAGCGAAUUAAUUCUGACUGACCAGUGUUUCCCUGUGCUGUGUCAUACUGUAGGAGCCCUGAAGCCACACAGCGUGCACAGCUCCCCUCCUUCUCUGGGCAGCUCAUCGUCAUGCUACGACAGCAAGCCCUGCAUUUCCAAACACGACCAGGAGCAGCUCUACGGGGCUGACCUGUACGCUCCGGGGGGCCUCAACGGCAUCUCCACCUCCACCAUAGCACGACCCAGGACCCAGCCCAUGGGGUCCGGCCUGCUGACGGACAGCUCUCUGGACUGUGACUUGGAGGAGACGGCUGAGGUCCGCCAGUCACUGCUCUCCCUGGCAGAGGGACCCUCUUCACGCCCUGAUGAAAGUCAUCUUGUCCAUAAGCAGACGGUGGUGCUGCUGCCAGGUAUGAGCAGUGACAGUGAGAUCGACUGUGACACGGAGAACGAAGAUGAGGUGGUAGCCCUGGAGGCUGGAGACUGUCGCUAUGAUGCCCAGGCACUGCCCUGUGCAGGGGCCCAGUUGAACUCUGACGACCUGUGCUUCACCACAGGAGAGAACACAGAGAGGUGA
rnacentral:lncRNA from 13 species